GUGCUUGCUUUAGCAGCACAUAUACUAAAACUGGAACAAUAUGGAUAAGAUUAACAUGGCCCCUUCUUUAGAAUGACACACAACUUUGUGAAGCAUUUUGUAUUUCA